rnacentral:tRNA from 1 species
CGGGAUGUAGCUCAGCUUGGUUUAGAGUACACGUCUGGGGGGCGUGGGGUCGAAGGUUCAAAUCCUUUCAUCCCGACUA